CUUGUGUUUGGUUUCUUUCUCUCUCUAUUUACCCAAAAAGAAGUUCUUCUCUCUGUCUCUCUCUUCCACAGCCCCGUUCUCACUUGCGCCUAGUUUCUUCAUCUCGCUCGAGCAGAAGAAACCCCUCUAUUGCCUCUGCUCGGGCGGAAGAAACUUGUGCUCUUGUCGAAGAAAACCCUGCUGGCUGAGAAAAGCCCCUCCCUCGCAUGUGCACCUGUCUCUCUCUUGCCCCUGCUCAAAGCCUGCUUGUCUGCCCUAUGCCCCAUCACUAAAGAGCUAAGGACAAAACACAUCGUAAUCUUCGGACCCAUAAAAAGGCAGUAGAUGUGCUACAAUAACAGAGAGGACAAAUU